GGUGGCUCAGUGGUAAAGCACUUGUCUUGCAUGCAUGAGGCCCUGGGUUCGAUUCCUCAGCACCA
rnacentral:tRNA from 1 species